rnacentral:siRNA from 1 species
AUUAAUGUCGGAUCACCUGUUAAG